rnacentral:rRNA from 1 species
AUUGAACGCUGGCGGCAGGCCUAACACAUGCAAGUCGAGCGGAUGACAGGAGCUUGCUCCUGAAUUCAGCGGCGGACGGGUGAGUAAUGCCUAGGAAUCUGCCUGGUAGUGGGGGACAACGUUUCGAAAGGAACGCUAAUACCGCAUACGUCCUACGGGAGAAAGCAGGGGACCUUCGGGCCUUGCGCUAUCAGAUGAGCCUAGGUCGGAUUAGCUAGUUGGUGAGGUAAUGGCUCACCAAGGCGACGAUCCGUAACUGGUNUGAGAGGAUGAUCAGUCACACUGGAANUGAGACACGGUCCAGACUCCUACGGGAGGCAGCAGUGGGGAAUAUUGGACAAUNGGAGAAAGCCUGAUCCANCCAUGCCGCGUGUGUGAAGAAGGUCUUCGGAUUGUAAAGCACUUUAAGUUGGGAGGAAGGGCAGUAACUUAAUACGUUGNUGUUUUGACGUUACCGACAGAAUAAGCACCGGC